GACGAGGGAUCCUAGCGUUGUUCGGAAUUACUGGGCGUAAAGCGCGUGUAGGCGGUUGUCCAAGUUGGAUGUGAAAGCCUUGAGCUCAACUCAAGAAAUGCAUUCAGGACUGGAUGACUAGAGGACCGGAGAGGAUAGUGGAAUUCCCAGUGUAGUGGUGAAAUACGUAGAGAUUGGGAAGAACACCAGUGGCGAAGGCGGCUAUCUGGACGGUUUCUGACGCUAAGACGCGAAAGCGUGGGGAGCAAACAGG
rnacentral:rRNA from 1 species